CGGUUGUGUUCGCAAGAGGCGAACUCAGUUUCCCAGGUGGCGCUGCGGCAGCCAGUCCAAAGUCGGACUUUCAAAACCAACCCGAAGUUUUGAACCCGGCGGCGGCAGUUGUCACUGGCACAGGUUUGGCGUGGUGGCGCCAGUGUACUACUUCUGGGGAGGUCUCGACCAGGUUCGGCAGCUUCGAUCCCCACCUGAUAUCUGCGUAUCAUCUCGGUGUCCCGCUUUUCCCCCAGUUCCCCAAGAGCGUCCUUCCUUUCCCUAGUCACAGGAUCGCAGUUUUGGUCUGAUAGCGCAUCCCCCUACCCCAGUGUUGCAUCCCCACUUCCCUCUUUCCAUCGAACGUGGUGGCCUUUCCUGGGGAUACCUUGGGUAUCCUCCCCUGGGAGAGCAAGCACAAGACACCAGGGAGCCAGACCCCUGCCGCUCCCCUGCCACAGGAUAUGUAUAGGAGCCUCAGCUGGUUUGAGCAGCUGGAUGUGCUUCUCAACGCUACUAAUGGAAAUGUGGUCCGGAUUAAGUGGCUGUAUCCUCUUGGGGUCUCCACCGCAGAAUAGCACUGCUGUCACUCCUACAGUGCUGGAUCUCCAUUCAUGUUGUCCAAUUAAGCUGCCUCUAGCCACUACCUUCACCAUGUCUGUUUCUUCAUCCAGCUCUUAACUCAGUCUUCUGGACAGUAACAGUAGCUGGGAUCU
rnacentral:sRNA from 1 species